rnacentral:misc_RNA from 1 species
UCCGGUUUGUCACCGGCAGUCCCAUUAGAGUGCUCAACUUAAUGUGGCAACUAAUGGCAAGGGUUGCGCUCGUUGCGGGACUUAACCCAACAUCUCACGACACGAGCUGACGACAGCCAUGCAGCACCUGUGCAAGCUGGUAUUGCUACCUCGUCAGAUUUUCAUCCUUCUACUACUUGCAUGUCAAGGCCAGGUAAGGUUCUUCGCGUUGCAUCGAAUUGAGCCACGUACUCCACCGCUUGUGCAGGCCCCCGUCAAUUUCUUUGAGUCUUAAUCUUGCGACCGUACUUCCCAGGCGGCACAUUUAACGCGUUGGCUACGCCACAAAAGGGGUCGAUUCCUUUUACAGCAAAUGUGCACCGUUUACGGCUAGGACUAC